rnacentral:lncRNA from 1 species
AGGAUGUAUAAACAAAGGUCAGAAGUUAUGUCUAAGCUAUGAUACAAGAUUUUUGGGAGAGGUGGUGGUCUCAAGAUGAGGCGGCUAAAGGAGGGAGAGGAGGCUUGGAUCCAUGGAAAAAAGUUGGCGGUGACAUUUUGCUCAUAUUUUCAUUCUGUUCCCGCUCCCCCUCCUCCCCCUCCUCCUCUUCAGCAUCCCAAAGAAACCGAGCAUAAGAUGCCAUCACAUAACUGCAGCAUCAAAACAAAGACAUACUUAAAACUUGGAAUCCAUCAUAACUACAGCGAAUGGUAAAGUACAAUACUGUAAUACUGAUAAUUGUCUAUCCACGUACAAUCCUUUUUCCCACCAAACAUUGAAACUAAGAUCAUGGUAUAAUUCAUGUCUCUAAGGUUCCAGCAGCAAAUUUUAUGGACUCUACAAUCAACAAAGGUGCUUACCAAUCAUCGGGAGCAGCUUUAACAGCUCGAAGGAAAUAAGAUUCAGCACGAGAAGCAUCCUUAUGACUCUGCCAUAUCAAAUCAGCAUACAUUGAAAGAACAUCUGCAUCAUUAGGGUUGGCUAGAAUUGCUCUCCCACAGUACUCUUCAGCUUUUACAAAAUCCAAACGAACCUGUUCCAAUUCCAAAACAAUACAUUAGAACAAUCUUGCCCAACAAGAUUGGCUUCUAUUCACUUACUAAAUCAUUCCUAAUUUACUCAUACUCUUACCUUUUGUGUAUGAAAAUUAUUGUUUACGUCUGAAAAACAUUUUUUCUCACGAUUCUGUAGCAUAGAGUUUCAAAAACUUUAUACUUUGAGAAUAUCCAUUAAAGUAAUUUCAUACAAAGAGCAAAACUUUUAUACAAAAGGAGCUUUAAAAGCACAAAUUUCAGAUGGAUAUUCACUGUUGAUAUACAAUUACAUUAACUACACAAGACAGAAACAUAGCUUCCCAUUUCUUUAAACUUCAAAAAAAAAUCACAACACAAAACACAUUAUCUAACCAUAACACAAACAAAUUCAAUAAAAAAUAAAAGAAAUUUUUUUUUUCAAAAACCAUGCAAGCAAGAACCUUUUGCAAUACAGCAAACACGUACCUCUUUCAAGAACCUGGCAUAAUUUCUGAGAAAAAGAGGAUUCCCAGGAUUGGCUUCAAUCAUCGUCUGAUAAUAAGCAUCGGUAGUUUCAAUCCCCUCAUUGGACUCCCGAGACCCUGAUCCUCCAUCAUCACCAAAAUCCGACCUACCACGACCACCACAAAACUUCCGUCCACCACCAUCACCACCACCACCGGUCACCAAAACCUCUAAAACCCCAUUAUCACCCUCCCCCUUCUCUCCAGCCUCACACCCUUCAAAAAACAACCCACCCUCCCAAAAUGACACCUUUUCCUCCACUUCUUCAUCAACAGGGAUUCCAUUCAAGAUUCCGUUACUGGGUUUUCUCUUUGGCACUGAGAGGUCCCUUAAAUCUGCCUCGGAAAAGGCUCUUGUCAUUCUUUUAAUAGAAUCAUGAUCUUGUGAAGAAAUGGAAGAAAAUGGACUAGAAGAUGAUGCUGUCAGCGAAAUGGGCCGGGUUUUUUGAAUUUGGUGCACAGAUUCAGGUUCUGGAGAUGGUUCUUUCGAGUGUGGAGGGAUCCAUGAAUUCAGAAAUGGCGUUGAUGAGCUUCUCAGAAGCAUUUUUUUGGCCUUGGAUUUCUCUCAAUUUCUGCAAAUGUGGAGACUUGGCAUGUGAGUAGGAGAAGAAGGUGAUGUUCUUAUAUAGGAGUCAGGAUUGAAUCUUGGCCGUUGAUUUUGUUAACGUAGGGAUUCGGAGUGUACUGUACACGUUCUUGUUUUUGGUAUUGGAGUUUCAGUGACUUGUUUGGGUAAAGGAUCUAAAGUUUUAAUUUUAGAAUUUUGUUUUUCUAUUUUAUGGUUUUCAAAAAUUCUUUUCUUGAAUUGUAUUCUUUUUACCAUUGUCAUCAAAGCUUGGUCACGGGUUUGCGAAUUUUAAUUUUAAAAUAAUAUUAUUUUAUUUUCAAAAAUAAAACAAUAUUAUUUUAGAUUAUUAAAAAAUUAUAGGUUUAGAUAAAAAUUUUAAAAAAAAUGAAGUUAACUUGAUAACAUGUCUUCAAAUCAGUCAAGUUUAAUAAAUAUAUUUUUAUUAUAAUUUGUAUAAUUUUGGAAUAAUUUAUUUAUUUUUGUUUUUUUUUCAAUUUUAUAACAUGAUUAAUUGAUGUAUUGUUGGUCGCAGUUGAUAAUUGGCCACUGAUAAAUAAUGUGGGUGAUUAAUUGUUUUAUUUAUUUGUUGAGUAAUUAAUUGGUUAUUAGUUAUGGAAGUUUGUUGACAAUUGGGAAGAUGAUUUUUAUUGUAAACUUUCUUUUUAAAUGUCUUAUUCUCUUAUAUAUAUAUAUAUAUAUAUAUAUAUAUAUAUAUAUAUAUAUAUAUAUAUAUAUAUAUAUAUAUAUAUAUAAACAUGCAUAGUCUUCCUUUUUAAUUAGAGAAACAUUGCUAGAUUUAAUAAUAAUCAAUCAAAAUAUUUUGUUCUUAUUGAUUUUAACAUGGUUUAAUUUUUGUUUAGGGAGAAAGUCUUUAUUUAUUUAUUUAUUUUCUUUUGGUGUGGUUUUAUAACAUUUCUUUAUGGACCCAAUAUAACUUUAUAGCAUAUGAUUAUUUAUCAAGGCAUGUGUUUCAAUAUUAAUACUAUCUUGAGAAAAAUCAAGGAAAAAUCGUGAAUUACACUAUUGAUACUAUAAUCCAAACGAAAUCAUUAAACACUAUCAGUGUGCUUCUCUUCCAUUCACAUAAAAGGAAAAAAAAAUAUUAAUGGUUUCAUUUUUUCUUAUGAAUGUAUGCAUUACUACAAAUACCUAUUAAUCUCUCACAAUUCUAAAUUAUGAAAAUUAAAGAGAAAAAAUGUGUUUUAUUUUAUGCUUAUUUAUUUGGUGAAUAUUUUGGUUUUAAAUACUUAUCAGAAAAUUAAAAUCAAACCGGAAAGAGAUUUAGUUUUGAUUAGUUUUUUUAUUCACACUAUGCGAGGUUUAAUUCAGAUUUUUUCUAACGUAAAAAAAGAUUUACAGGCAAUGACAAUAUGAGUCAACUUGGGUUAACUUAGCGAACAUGUAGGAUAUUAGAUCAGAAUACUCUAUAGAAUGGAAUGCGAAAAAAACCACAAAACUCAAGGCCCAAUAACCUAAUCUCAAAUGAUGAAAUUAAAAAAAAAGUUAAUUAAAAAAAAUGUUGAAGAAAAAACUCGAGUCAACCUGGAUUCACUAUAUUAACCCACCACUCGCGACAUGAGAUCUAGAUUUAAAAUAUAUAUUUUUUAAAAUGACCUAGAAAAAAGGAUUGAAGUUAAAUAAAUAAAAAAACUUUGGAAAAAAAUCUAAGUCACUCCGAGUUAACUUGACUAACUUGCGAUCCAGGAUAACCUGACUAACUAACGGUCUGAGAUAACCCCAUAAAAAUAAAAGGGCAUAAAAAAUCAAAAAGCUCAAGACUAAAUAGUCUAAUUUCAAAUGAUGAAAUUGAAAAAAAAACUUAAAAAAAAAACAUUGAAAAAAAUCUAAAAAUACUCAAGUUAACUUGACUAACUCACGAUCCAUAAAAUAAUAAAAUAAUAAAAAGAAAGCAUUUAAAAUAAUAAGGACCAAAAUUGGAUAAAAAAUAAAAUAAAAUAUUGAGGGACAAAAUAAAAAUAUUAAGAAAAGGAUAAAAAAAAAGCAAUUAAAAGAAUGAAGACAAAAAAUAGAUAAAAAAUAAAUGAAAUAAAAAAUCAAGAGACAAAAUUGAAAAAAAAGAAGAAGAAGAACAAAUCAAGAAAAGUAUUAAAAAACAACAAUCAAAUGAAUGGGUAUCAUAUUUGAUAUAAAAACCAAAUAAAAUUAAAUGAAAAUGAAAAUAAAAACAAAAACAAAAACAAAAAAAUCAAAACAAAGAAAGACAUAUAUAAAAAAAAGACCAUAAUUAAAAUAAAAAAUAAAUGAAAGGAUUAGUUGACCCAACACUUAUUUAAAGAAGAUAAGAGAGAAAAUAGUGGAGAGGAGAAAAAAAUCUCAUCGUUGCUAAAUUGUCGUGAAUUGCAUUACACAUGCAACCCUAUUAGUUGCAUCAUCACUGGACACUUCGAAAAGAUACUAUUGUUGAACUUUAUUGGUCAUUGGAAGACGCUGCACAAAGUGUGCGGGUAGCUCUCACUCAUUAGUUUUUUUUGAUUAUUUUUAUUUGUUAAAAGACUAGUUUAUUUUUAAUUUAAAUAGAUUAUAAUAGAAAACAAUAUGAUAAAAAUAUCAAAAUACUUCUUAAUCCCUCAUUUAUUUAUUUAUUUACUCGAAAAGCAAUGAAUUAAUUUUCUUAUUUUAAAAAUGAAAUGAUGCAAAAGCCCCUUUUAUUUUUUUUUAUUGUUUUAAGAGUAUUUAUGUUAUUUAACUGUGAAAAAAAUUAAUAAACCAUUAUACCUCGAUUAAUUUCAUAAAACUAAAUAAAUCAUCUGAAAAAAACUAUUUUACCCAUAAAAAGCUAUUUAUUUUGUGUAAUUAAAAACACCCUACCUUAGAUUGAUAGGGUUUAGUUCUUUUUCAAUUUAGCGGAAUCAAGUCCCAUUAUUUAUUUAUUUCUUUCUUUCUUUUUCACUUACCCAACGAACCCUAACGAGCUCCCCGUAUAUACGAUUGACGGAGGCAAGUACGCGGUCAACAUUUCAUUACAGUAGGACCCGCUUAAACAUGAUCAUGUGAGAAGGGGCCCACUAAACACCUUUGAUUUAUCACAUAACUCCCUUGGACGGUCUAGAUUAAAUAUCAUCACGUGAGUCCACACUGCUAGGACUGGCAUCUGGUGGCGACUCAUGAAAGGGAAAGGGGAGGAUUUUUCCGCGGUGUUUUAGGCAACAAUAAAAGCCCGUAGAUAUUUCAAGUUUCUACGAAUUUGCCACUAAUGUGUUUGAGUGGCUACCCUUAACUUUUGUGGGACCCAAGAUCGCAAACUGGCACCAUGGGGUGGAGCCCAUGGCUGGUGAGUCUUGGACCUCUUGGUGCUAGGAGGUCAUGACCAUCAUGUCUGUCUUAUGAUUAUUAUUAUUUUUUUAGCAGUAUUCAAAAGUAUGAUAAGGAGGAUUUUUUAAAAUAUUUUUUAUUUAAAAAUAUAUUAAAAUAAUAUUUUUUUAUUUUUUAAAAAUAAUUUUUGACACCAACAUAUUUAAAUAUCUAAAAAUAUAAAUUAAAUUAAAUUCAAGUAAAAUUAAAUAUAAUAUUUGUAAUAAUAUUUUAAAACACAAAAAUAAAAGAGUUCUUGGAUUCUUAAGUGAGUGUUUGAGAGUAAAAUUAAAUUCAAGUAAAAAAAAUAUAUUUUUAAUAAUAUUUUAAAAUAUAAAAAUAAAAAAGUUCUUGGAUUUUUAAGUGAGUGUUUGAGAUUAAAAUUAAAUUCAAGUAAAAAAAAUAUAUUUUUAAUAAUAUUUUAAAACACAAAAAUAAAAGAAUUCUUGGAUUCUCGAGAGAGUGUUUGAGAGUAUAAUUAUAGUUGUUUUUUAAAGUGUUUUUUAUUUAAAAAUAAAUUAAAAUAAUUUUUUUUUAUUUUUAAAAAAUUAUUUUUGACAUCAAUAUAUUAAAAUGAUAUAAAAAUAUAAAAAAAUAUUAAUUUAAAAUAAAAUAAAUAAAUUAUUAUUUAAUUACUUUUAAAAUUUAAAAACAAUGAGGGCGGCGUGCUGUUUUUUUUUUGUCACGAAGAGGUGCAAGUUGAUGAUUGUAGGGGUAAAAUUGUCAAUAUACAUGAUUAAUUAUGAAGAAAGAUUUUUUUGCUGUGAUUUUUUUUUUACUUUUAAUGUAUCUUUUUUCUAUUUUUGGCUUUAUGCAAUAAGUGUAUGUGCUGAUGCGAAAUAAUUGCCUUGUACUUGGGGAGAAUUUCUUAACGAAUAAGAAGUCGACACAUGAGAGGUGUUGUUCGCACGUGGAGGUCCAUUGCCUAUGAACCAUGCAACUAUAAAGGCUUAAUUUUAACAUUAGUUUUAUAUAUGGAGGUUUGAACGAGAGAUUUUUAGAUAUGAGAAAAUAAUAUUAAUAGUUAAACUAACACUUGUUUAUUAUUUUAUCACAAAAAAAUAAAGAUAGAUAUAGUGGACAUGUGAGAUGUUUCUUCAUAUCCUCUUUGUUUUUAAAAUAGAGAAAUUAAUUUUAAUAUUUAUAAAUUAAUUUUAUGUAUUCAUCCAUGUCAUUUCAAUCAAACAAGUUUUUAUUUAUUUAUUUAUUUUUGUAUUCAUUUUUUCUAUCUCUAAAUAAUAACCAAAUACUAAUCAAGUUAUUAGAAAAAAAAUCAUCUUAUUCCAUACAAUGUACUUCAAUCCCAUAACAUUUAUGAAAAUAUUUUUUGUAAUGAUUUUAUCAAUUGAUCUAAAGUGUUUCAAUUUAUAAUACUAAUUAUCGAAAAAGAAUAAGAUUGAAGAUAAAACAAUAAUGCUAUAUAUAGAUGUUGAUAAAUAAAAAAUAAAAACAGAUGUAUUUAUAAGAAAUUGAUUUAUUCCAAUCUCACUAGUCUAACCCAAAAUGACAGGGUAUAUGGAUGUAAAUCUGCUUGAUACCUAAGCUAACACCUGAAAUUAAUGGUACAUAAAAAAGAGAACACUGCAAUGAGUCCUUCGAUCGGAUAAUAUUAGUCCAUUGCAUGUGAAAAAAAUAAUUAUGUAAAAUGGUAGGAGAAGAAUAUUACAAUUGUUUUGCAUAAAAUAUUUUACAUGUAAAUUUUUUCUUAUAAACUAAUGGCAAUGGUGCCGGUGAAAUGAUAAUUAUUAUGAAGAAAAUGAUAAUGAGAUGAUCAUGGUGGGGGUGAAAGAAAAGAAGGUGAUGAUGAAGUGAUAGUAAGAUAGCAGUAAUAGUAGAGAAAGUGGUUGUGAAGUGGUGGUGAUAAGAUGAUAGUAAUAAGAAAAAAGAUGAUGGUGAGACGGUAACGGUGAUGAAAUAAUCAUAAUAAUGGUAAAAAAAAUGGUGAUGAGAUUAUGAGGAUGAUGUAGUGGUUGUGAAUCGUGAUGAUGAUAAAAAAAAAAUAGUCUUAUAAAAGGACAUAUCAUUAUUUUAAAAGGAGAAAUUCUUAAUUAAAAAAUCUUUUCUUUUACAAAACCAUCUAUCAAACAGCAAAAAAGGAAAAAAAAAUGCAUUUUGUUUUUAAAAAGGUAGUGUUAAUUAAUAUUCAUAGGGUAACUAUUUGUAUAUUUGAUGGAGUACGUAGCAUCCUGUAAGGCUGCUUCUUCUCCUCUAUUCUUUAAUGAGUAUUAUCAUCUUAAAAUCGAGGAGCCCAUGAAGCUACUUCCAGCAGUCUCUGUGGAAAAACAUGAACACAAAUUUAGACCAAGUAAAAUUAAUGGGAUGGCACAAUCGAUUAGCACCGCAUGCAACGAUAUCCAAGAAUAUUCUUGCCCAAUGAAGAAAAAUUAAAAUAGUAACAUUUCUAUCCAUGUAAAGCUAGUGAUGGCGCCAUGGAUCGUGAAAGAUUUAUAAUAUGUUGUGCUUAAUUUGUCGUAACGGACCAUUACCAGAAAGAGAAAUAGAUAUGGAAUUUCCAAGCAAAUUGUGUGAAGGAGAUUCAUAAUGGCUUGGCAGCCAAGUAAAAGCCUCGAAGCAUUUUCAUGCUGAUAAUAUAUACAAACGAUCAAAACUUGAUCAAGCUAGGAUAAAAUGGUUUGGUAACCCUCUCAGCCUGCCAAUUAGAAAUAUAUAUGAGAAGCGCAUUACGUAGGACCCAUGACUCGAGCUUCUCAAGCUCUCAUGUCUUUUCAUGAUGUCCUUAUUGCGUAAAAUAUUAGUAUUAACAGCCUGUUACUAUAUAAUCAAUGAAAUUUAGAUCUUUGAGAAAAACCCAUUUGAAAUCAAGCUUUGAAUUUGAGCUCCCAUGGCUACAUUCAUGGUUUUGAUGCCGUCAUUUUUGUUGGGUUUUUGUUUUGGAUUGAUGGCGGGUUGGGUUUGGAGCAAGAGGCUCCGUAUCCCAUUCUUUGUUCUAUGUGGAGUGCCAGGGAUGCAGUGAGCACCAACUCUUGAAGUUACGCAACACUUCGGUGCCAUCUGCGAACGCAUUAUUUAUCAGACCAGGAGAUCAUCCGAUGCUUACCUUAAUAAAUAUAGGUGGAGAAAACAAUGUACAUGAAAUGAAAAUUGUAGAGGGUGUGUGAUUGUAAUGAACUAGUGUAAAGCUCUUGGAUGAGCUUCGAUGGCCUGAAAAAUAGGUGCUUCUUUGUGCUUCUUUGUGUGGAGUUAUAGUUACCUCGAUGUGUGGAUGGCGAAUCAUUGAUGGAGAGAUUAGAGCUAUCAUUAGUUGCUGUGCUUGCAUGUUCAAUGGUGGGGAUAUGUGGACAAAAAAUAAUUAUUAACAAGAAAAAUAGGGUUUAUUCUGCAUGGAAAAAUGUGUACGCGAAUGGUGGUGCGACACUCACAUCUUGGAAACAAAUAUAUAAAGGUGUGUGCUUAGGUCACAUGACCAUGAAGGGAAGUCAAGUCCAUCUCCAUUAUGGAAUGUAGCUAAAUAAUUUCGAAGUAUGGACAACAUUAGCUUCUCUUUUUUCUUCGUUUUUUUGUGUUCUUUAUGGUCUAAAAGUUCUGCUAUUACAUGCUCUUGAAUUGCUGCAGACAAUUUUGAAGUAUGGCAAACAUUAGCUGCUUUUGUGUUGUAAUUAGUUAACAAUUGCAAAUACUGUAUCCAUUACUAUUCUCUCAUGCCUGUCUCCGUCAUUGAGUUUGAAAAAUGUCUGAAUUAAUAGGCAGAAACUUUCAAACCAAUAGCUGAAUAAAAUCAUCAUCAUCAUCAUCAUGGUACAUUUUUGUGUAAGAUUUUGAAAAUAUCAAGCUUUUCUUUAAGGUAGGAUUUUACCACCAGGUUGCUGGGACCAUGGUGGGCUGUCGAUAGUUUACCUGUCAUCAUAAAGUAGCAGAAAAAAGAGAAGAAAGGUAAGGAAUAAUUGCAGCUUAUAAUAGCAGUAUUGACAGAUGUUAAAGAGGGGUUGGGGGGGUCAAUAUCUACAGUUAUGAACAUCUGAGGACCAAAUCAAGCUCAGCAUGCAUGAUAAUCAACAGAGGACCUACUUCACACAGAAAGGACUUACCUUUCACUUCAAGGCACCACUCCUGACAGGACCAGUUUGGCACAAGUGAAAACCCUCUAGAGAUACUAAAAUUAGAGAGCAAUCAAAUCUUGCAUUGCUAAAGACUUGCCAUGAAGAGAUUUUUUAAAAAAAAUUAGCACAAUUGAAAAGUUUUGUAAGAAUAAUAUUAUUAAAAUUUUUUUUUUAUGAAAUAGCAUAUUUUAUAUUAUUGUAUUUUAAAAUCGCUAUAUUUACUAAAUCUUGUUAUUCCUAAAUGCAAUAAGAUAGUUGUGGGUGGAAGACAUAACAGUACAUGCAUGCUGUUUUUGCAGCAACUGCUUCCACAGUUAUUAUAUAAUACCACAACUCCCUACUUUUCUUAUCAUUUCUUCCAUGAUUCAACAGAAAAGGAAGUAUUAAAGAGUAGAUGAGUAGGACACAUGGUCAAUGGUAAGUUCUCAUCAUGAUAAAGCAUAUUAUCUCUUCCAAAUUAUGAAUUAAAAGCAAACAACAUAGUGGUCAUGGAAUCAUUUUCACCUGUUGGAGAGAAUUCGAUGAAGAUUGUCACACGUGUGCGGCGUCGCGGCGAAUAUUCAACUCUCAGGUAAGUAUCUGGAAAUCGAGAAAUAUGGGGAUGUAAUGAAUUCUUGUUUUUUAUCAGUGAAAAAAUAGAAUGAGAGUCGCCACCUAUUAUUUUGGUCACUAGGAACCCUAAUUGGUCUCAGAGAUCGGAUACGGGGACUGGUUGCGUAAAGAAAAUGUAUUAGCACCCCAAAUACGACUUACCUAAGAUAAGCUGCAUUGUUUGAUUAUCUGAUAAAAAGCUAAGAUGUUAUUGUAUUUCUAAUUGUUGGUCCGUCUAUGAUUUAAGAAAAAUCCUCAUCAGUAAGAAAAGCUAACCGUUCUAACGUCUAUAUAAAAAAAAACUACAUUUUGAAUAUCAGGAAUACGUUUUACGUAUAAAUUUGUAUUCUCAGAUACUAAAAGAAAACAAAAUAUUUUUUUUGAAAAUUUUGAAAUAUUGGCCUAGUUCUCAUGACUCUAACAAACUUGUUAUUAAAGCCAAAAUACAUGCUAAAAUAUAUUUUUGAAUUUUUUUUGUGUUUUAUGUAUAAAAAAACAAUAUGUAUUUUUUUGUAUGAAAAUACAAUGUGAUGAUUUUUCUUAUCUUUGAGAGACUUGGCCGUAUGCAUGAAAACAAAAUAAUUUUUUUUUCAAUGUUUUUGACAAAAACCGGGUAUUUUAAUACCGGAUUUGUAUCUUUACGGUAUAAAAAUAUAAACCAGUAUUAAGCAAAAUUCAGUAGAAAAAUACGCAGAAAAAUCAUAAAUUUUUUUUAUAAAAAGAUUUUUUUGGGAGAAGUUUGGACUGGGCCAGGAACGGCCCGACCCAAUGUUCACUGCAUGAACAGUGAACGUGAAUUAUAAUUCACAUCUACUGUUCCCUCAGCGAACAGAGAUGAAGAAGAAGAAGAAAGGGAGGAAGGCUGACAUGCGGUGGUUCUGACGGUGGUGGAGGACAGCGUGGUGCAAGCGGUGGCGGCUGACGGUGGUUGCGACAGGAAGAAAGAAGAAGAAGAAAAUCUGCAGGGGGAGAGGACCGACGGUUGCUGUGGUUGGACGGUGGCUAUGUUGGCUUCCUGUGGUGGAGAUGGUGGCUGAAAAGCUGACGGUGAUGACAGUGGUGGCUAGGACGGCGGAGAGAGAGAGAGUGUGAAGAGACAGACGACAGAAAAGGAAAAAUCAUGGGGAGGAAGGCUGGUUUUCAACCGACUUUGGACCCAAUUAUCUCCCUCCCUGGAGCAUGAAAAAUCACAUCUAUUUAUAGGUGGUGGAAGAGGGACACUUUGUCUCUUCUAGUGCCAAAUGUCGGCCCUUGGUUCGACCCGAAAGCACUCCAACCAUUGCUUCAAAGAAGCAAUGAUGAACUACCAGUUUUGUGCAGGAAAAUGGCUGGUCGGGUUGACUACUUUGGGACGGUGCCACCGCCUCUGCAUCCUCGAUAAGCCCUAACAAUUUAUACUAGUGUGUAUUCAAGUAUCACAGGAUCAUUUUCGUGCAGGUUUCAUUUAAUUUGGGGAAGAAACGAGGCGUCAAACGCCUUGGGAAUGAGGCCCCUCGGGCAGCCUCGCUAGAGAAGAAGAUGAAUAGUAACUUUUCUGCCAAUUACGCUUUAGUCCUUCAAUUUGUGACUUAUCUCUAAUUACACCCCUGAUGAACUUCAACUCAAACCCUAGAUUUCAGCGCCCUUUUCCCUUUGGUCCCUGGUUCUUACUUUAUUCAACUAAGUCCUUAAUUGACCAUCAAACUUCAAUAUUUAUGUAAUUAAGCCCCUGAUUUGACCAAAUUAACUCUAAAAAAUUCUAAUUUGACCCCAAAACUUUAAUUUCUUCCAAUUAAAGCCCAAAUUGACUUUAAAAACAAAUUUUCUUGCAAUCAAACCCUCCAUAAAUUCAAUUAAACCUCUAAUAAAAAAUUUUUUUGGACCUUUCUUCUUCAAUUUGAAUUUUCCUUGUCAACGGGGCUCUUCAUCUGUAAAAAAUAUACUGUCAAAUUUUAAUCUUUGAAUUUUUUAGCCUCCUCAACCAAUUUCUAGCCAUUUUUAGGCGCUCCGACAUCAUCUUCUCAUUGUUAUUAUUUUUUUUUGUUUUUAGUCCGAAUAUAUUUUUUGAUUUUUUGAAGAGAAAAGGUGAAUAUCGGGGAAUAACCCAAAAAGGGGCUGUGACAAUGAUAAAUAGCAUCCUAAGGAGACUGUCUUUCUUUUCAGGGCCGAAGUUAUAGAUUUACUUCCAGGAAUUUAGAUCAAGGCACAAAUCUUCACUGUUUUCCUUAGACAGGUUAUUCAGAAUAAGAAAUCAUUUCCAGCAAUAGCAUGUUUUCACUUUUUCCAUCAUUGCCAGCAAGUACUUUCUUGGCACAACAUAACUUCUGGAAAGAUUUGAACAGUUUCCAUGCCUUGUGGAGCAUCAAGUGAUUCAGAAUUUCAUGAGUUUUGAGAUUGCAGGGGACUAGAGCCUCAAUGAAUCCAUCAGAAACCAACCCUAUUACCACUAUCAGUUAUGCUUCCGAGAAGUUGGUUUUAAACUGUAUAAUUCUUAGCAUAAUUUUAGGAGAAAGAUGUAAAAUUAAAUACAUGUUUGUUGUCUUGCUUGAACUUUAUUUUGCAUGUAAGGAGUAGGUGAGUGAAAGCAAGUAUUCUGUGGUGAAGCAGAUAUUGUUAGACAGCUCAAAGAAUCAUACUGUUAGACAGCUCAAAGAAUCAUACUCAGUCCCCCUGACCACAUCAAUUGCUUGUAACAGGUGUUCUCAUUUCCAUCUUGAGGAUCAUUACAAAGGCAUCGCUCCUCAGAACCCUCAACGUCUCCGAACAAGUGCUCACUUCUACUUUAUAGUUAGUGCCAUAUCAUUCUGCUGUGUUGCGCUCUCUCUUCCAAUUUGUUAUACAAACUACCAGUUAUGGAACAGCGUUACAAACUUGCUCCUGAUGAUUCACUGUUUCCAAAACCAAAAUUUCGGGCUGUAGCAAGAAAAAUCCGAUGGCCAGCUUUUGGUGUUCUCAUGAUUUAUAUCGUGACUUUGUCGAUAUUUCCUGGUUUCAUAGAAGAUCUCUCGUCCAAGUUACUAAAAGAUUGGUAUCGCGUUUUGCUGAUAACAAUAUACAAUGUUGCAGACUUCACAGGGAAAUCUUUAACCGCAAUAUAUGUUCUGCAGAGCAUUAAGAAGGCAACAUGGGGUUGCAUUCUCAGGCUUGUGUUCUAUCCUCUCUUUGCAGCUUGUCUCAAUGGACCCAAGUGGCUGAAAACUGAAGUACCCGUGGCAAUUCUAACUUUCAUGCUCGGAGUGACUAAUGGCUAUCUGACAAGUGUUCUCAUGAUCCUUGCCCCCAUGGCAGUAUCAGUUUCAGAAGCAGAGUUAUCUGCAAUUGCAAUGGUUGUGUUCCUAGGAAUAGGGUUGGUUGGUGGAUCAGUUAUUGGCUGGUUUUGGAUCAUUUGAGCCUUUUUUUUUUGGUCUCUCAGGCUAGUUGGGAACAGAUUAUAUUCACAAGUAAAAUUCAAGAACAAAACUAACCGGAGGUUAGCACCAGGAAUAAUCGAUAGCAAAUGGUAUGAAUUUAGAGCUAUCAAUCUUUAUUUUCCCAAUCAGCUGCUGAUUUCUUGUUCUGAGUGAAAGUAUCCUUAUCCUUGUGUAUUGAAGAAGAUUAGAUUACUCUUCUUACCGUUUCUAAAGCACAGGUUUAACUCUCCAAAUAUUCCCAUUUGCACUCAAAAGGCUGAGUUGCAAGCAUAGCUUUUCUGUCGUAGAGCCCCAAUAGUUGAUGUGACGGCAAGCCCUAACAACUCGCGCCUUGGCAAACUGGUAGAUCAGGCCCUGUUACUGUAUAGAAAUUUUAACACUCCUAGGACUUGCUAAGUUUGAACAGAAAUCAGCUCGUUAAAUUAUUGAAUACAGGGGAAGAUAGAUAAUGAUAAUUUAACGAUUUAAUCUAUCCAGGCUUUAUCAUUUCCUUGAUUCCUUCAAUAAUUAAAGGUGAAGCAUAAACCCUAAAUAAAAUUGAAGAGGCAAUACAUAACAUGCUAAACGCAUUGUUAUUGUAUCUAAAGCAUUGGACAGUCUUUUCUGUCCAACCACGGUGCUUAUCUAUAGGGGGGAUACUUGCAUGACCAGAGGAAAGGAGAUUUCAAACUUCAACGUUUCAGCAAAACUCCACUAUGCAGUGGCAGCAAUACCUACCAGAACAAAAGAACUUUAUUGACAAAUAUAUAACAAAAGAACUUUAGGUAGUGCCAUAAAAACUCGUCUUAUCUUUUAUUUUUCUUUCUACAUCAAAUUGCCAGACGAGCAAAGCAUGGUAAUUAAACAACUCAACUGAGCAGCUUAAAAGGUUACUAGAAAAAUUGCAAGAAGAAAGGAUGUAUAAACAAAGGUCAGAAGUUAUGUCUAAGCUAUGAUACAAGAUUUUUGUGAGAGGUGGUGGUCUCAAGAUGAGGCGGCUAAAGGAGGGAGAGGCCUAGAUCCAUGGAAAAAAGUUGGCGGUGACAAUUUGCUCAUAUUUUCUCUCUGAUCCCGCUCCCCCUCCUCCUCCUCUUCAGCAUCCCAAAGAAACCGAGCAUAAGAUGCCAUCACAUAACUGCAGCA